rnacentral:rRNA from 1 species
AUGUCGGGCGAGUUCCAGUUCCACGACGAGCUCGCGUCGCUCUUCACGCAGCGGCCGGGGCCGGGGAUGCAGCAGCAGGAGCAGCAGGCCUCCUGGCUCGCCGACUACCUGCAGACGCCCAUGGACUACGAUCUGCUGUGCAGGGCGCUGGAGCUGCCGGCCGCGGAGGACGUCGUCAAGAGGGAGCUGGUGGUGGACACCACGCCAAGCGGCGGCGGCGCCCUCACUCCCAGCGCCGGCGGGGGGACGCCCAACGCCACGUCGUCCAUGUCGUCCUCGUCGAGCGAGGCCGGCGGAGGCCUCUGCGCCGGAGAGGGGGACUCGGCGGGGAGGUGCAAGAAGGAGGACGGCGACGGGGAGGACGGCAAGGGGGGAGACGAGGGUGACAAGAGCAAGAAAGGGUCUGCGGCUAAGGGCGGCAAGGCGGGCAAGGGCGAGAAGCGUCCGCGGCAGCCGCGGUUCGCCUUCAUGACCAAGAGCGAGGUCGACCACCUCGAGGACGGCUACCGCUGGCGCAAGUACGGCCAGAAGGCCGUCAAGAACAGCCCAUAUCCCAGGAGCUACUACCGAUGCACGACGCAGAAGUGUGUGGUGAAGAAGAGAGUGGAGCGGUCGUUCCAGGACCCGGCGGUGGUGAUCACCACGUACGAGGGCAAGCACACGCACCCCAUCCCCUCCGCUCUCCGUGGCAGCACGCACCUCCUCGCCGCCCAGGCGGCGCACCUGCAUCACCAGCACCACGGCCACCUCGGCAUGCUGCCGCAGAUGGGCAUGGGCGGCCGCGCCGGAUCGCCGUUCGGCCGGAGCAGCGGCGGCGGCAUCGACGUGCUGGGCGGCCUCCUGCAGCCGCGCGCCCACCACGGCAUGACGCCGCCGAUGAUCGGCGCUGGCGCGGGCCACCAGGCGUCGACCCAGGGUCUGCCCGGCUCAAUCAGCAGCGUGGCGAGCGCCACCGCCUCGUCUCCUCCGUCGCUCCAGAUGCAGCACUUCAUGGCGCCGGACUUCGGGCUCCUGCAGGACAUGCUGCCGUCCUUCAUCCACGGCGCCGGCGGCAACAACAACAACAACCAGCCCUCAUCACCGUAUGGGAAGCUUCAUUAG